rnacentral:rRNA from 1 species
GAUAAGGUUAAGUGAAAAAGGGCGCACGGUGGAUGCCUUGGCACUAGGAGCCGAUGAAGGACGGGACUAACACCGAAAUGCUUUGGGGAGCUGUACGUAAGCUAUGAUCCAGAGAUUUCCGAAUGGGGGAACCCAACAUCUAUAAUAGGAUGUUACGACUGUGAGAAUACAAAUCACAU